rnacentral:tRNA from 1 species
GCGCCGUUAGCUCAGCUGGAUAGAGCGUCUGGCUACGGACCAGAAGGUCGGGGAUUCGAAUUCUCCACGGCGUGCCA